GUCCAAUCAUGCAAGAGAAAGUCUAAAAUUUUUGUCUGAAAUACUAAUAAAUGAAAUCUUCUUUUUUUUUGUCAGUAUUUGAUUCCCAGCAGGGGUUGAUUUUACAGAUUUUAGCUCAAAGUCGUCACCUUUUGUUUUGUUUCUGACUGAAUCCAGCUGUGGCUUUUGGUGACGCCACCCCCAACAUCUGAAGAUUUAUUUAUUUGCUAAAAUUGAUCACAUCAUGCAUUUUGGACCUCAUGAGGAGCCUCCUUUGUGCAGAGGAAGAAUCAUGAACAAAGAGCACUACAGAAGCCUCAGACAAAGAGAGACAGAUCAUAAGCAACACAAAGAAACAAGUCGAUUUUGUGGAAACCUAAAUUACAAAUGUGGGAGGAGCAGACACAGACAAAAGCCGCUCUUUUUGCGGGUUCUUUGGGGAUGUUGUUCGUUCCCCUCACGGUAUUUUUCCCCUUUCAGAAUACCUCGGAGAGCAGCUUGGCGUGCCGCUCUCUGCUGCCUGCUCCCUGACCCCUCUGAAGUUACACUGAUUUCCAUGAAGUCUGGAAAAGGGAGGGGGCGCUGCAAGCUGAUCCCCCCUCUCUUUAGAGUCAACAAGGUGUUGAUCUGAACCAGCACAGACGUCCUGAUGUCACAGCGAAUACGUCCACGCAUGUGAGCGUCAUGCUGCAGCAAGACACACCUCAUUGGCCGGAUCAUCGGCUGGAUAUUAAUGUCAAAGGGCUAAGUCACUGCACACAUAAAAGUCAGAACUUAUCACCCACUGACCCAAGAGAGUCUCUAAAAGUAUUCGAGUAGAGAUGUGUUGGAUGGAUUGGGUGGAUCAUGUCCCUCUCAGGAUGAAUUAAAAUCACUUUGUUGAUCAGCCACAACUCCGGUUUCUUUUUAUUGUGUAAUACUUUUGCACGAUAACCUAGCGUCAUGUGCCAAACUAAGGUAGUGAACAUGCUGGAUAGUCUUUGUUUUACUUCAGCUCCUGCUACUGUUUUCUUCACAAAGUUUUUAUAUUGCCAAGACUUUGCUGAAACUAUUCAUUCCCUCUUCUUCAUCAUAAAAUUCAUCUUCAAGUUUUACCUUCAUGCAUUAUUCCCUGGAUUUAGAUACAGAUGGAUGAUGCACCUCAUCUACUCCCAUAAGUAAAGUGAAACCAAAACACCCUUGUAGCAGGCGCUGAAAUGCUGCACUGUCUUGGCUCGACUUAUUCUGAGCGGAGUCAUACGCUGAAACAAUCGAGCUGGUAGCCACAGUAUCGACUUCACACUCGUCACACCAAUGAAAGCAAACAGAAAACUUAUGAUAACCGUCAGAGGUACCACAUAUCUGUACAGAUUUUUGUGUUGCUUUAAAAAAUACUGAUGAUUAUGUAUCCAACGUGUUCAGGUCAUUUUCAGGGCUGCUGUCAGCAGUGGCUUGCACACCUGUAAUGAGUUUUACUUAUCAGUUAGGUGAGAUGGGUGUAGGCCGGUUGGCUUAAAACAAACUUUUUUUGAGAAAAUGGCACAUUUUAAUUUUUCACCAAUUUUUUUUUCUUUCAUUUUUUUUACCAAUACAACAAUCCUCCUCCCUGAAAAAAAAACAAACCAUGUAGGACAGAGGAUUUCCGCACACUUAGUCAGCGCAAUUUUCACUUUACAUAAACAGCAUGAUGCUAAUUUUUCAACAUUUUAGAUCUGUUUUGUAUUCACAGAUUUUCAUAUUACUCUGACCUGUUAAAGGAAAACUCCAAGACUUUCAAAAGACAGAUCAGAGACUGAAGUCAGCGUUUUGGCCCCUAAAGACAAAACAUACUGUAUUUGGCCCUGGAUGAAAUCUGCACACUCAUCACACUCCCUACAUUCCCCUCUACCACACCACAUCACUGAGCCUUAUGAUGUCUCUGAAAAUAACCUGUUGAUCUGUCCUCUCAUUCAGACGCCUCAGCUUUUACUGGAAAAGCAACAAGUGAUUGUUUUGGUUUGUCUGCCACAGUUCCCCUCUGUCUGGUUGUGAUCUGUUUGGAAUGUAAGCCGAUACUGAUUUUAAAUGUCGGAUGGAAAACAAAGUAGACAGGCAAACUUUCUCCAGGCAGCCUUGACAAGUUGUCUCUGCUCACUCCUCUCCUCACUGUGUCUGUCUAUUGUCAAGUUUAUUUACAGAACAAACAGGUAGAGAUGUGCAAAAUAUGUCCUGAUACGACUGAACAAUGCUACUUUCACAAACUGCAGAUACAAAGAUUACACUGUCCGUCUGCUUCCCUUCUGGUAUAAGUUAGAGAGAAUGUUUGGUAUCAACAGUACUUGGCCUGCUGACUGUUUGCGAGCUUCAGUGUCUCUAAAUAAUGUAACAAUCAACUGCAUUGUUGUAAAUAUUAAUGGUAUUAAAGCAUCCAGUCUAAAAUCAGACUCAAAAACAGAGAAAACAGAAAAGCUGGUGAAAAAUUCAAGCAACAAAAAUAUCCCUCUCUUGUCUGCCUACGUGGAUUUAAGAAAACAUCACCGGGGUCUUUAACUUCUGCAGAAAACAGAUGAAGGCAAUGGGAAAAAAAAUCUUUGGUUACCAGGGUAACCCAUUUCUCUGAAAACUGAGUGAGUGUAUGAUAUGCGUAGGCUACAGCCCGAAAAGUAAACCUCAGAAACUUUCUCUGAGCUGGAUACAUGCUUGUAUAAAAACAAGCAUCCCACAGAUCUAUUGAUGGGAACCGGUCUCUCCGCCUCAUUGAAUUUAAUCUUCAGAGGUAAGAACUGAGGUGAUGGGAUGUAAAGCACCAAAGUGAGAUACCGAGCAAGCUGAUAAAGAGAGUUGCUGUUCCCCUGAAUGGCCACUUGGGGCUGUUCCAAAGGUGAGUUCAUCCUUAUGACCCCAAGUGUUAAAAUACUAGCUAGAUUUUUAUUAACAAACCGCUGCAGUUCACCUUUCUGUAUUUCUAUAAUUAUAAAAUUUUCCUGAAGUGUAUGGGACUUAAUCACCCACCCAUUUCAUAAAAAUGCUCAAGUCUUAUAUUUUUUAUUUAAAACACCUUUGAGACUUUUCAAAAGUCUGACUUCAAUGAAAAAAAACUCUGUUUGUAGUGUCGUGUAAUUUAUCACUCUGCUGAAAUAAAGAGAUUUGUUUCUCUUUAUUUCAGCCUUAAAAGGCCUUAAUCUGUCAAAUAGCUCCAUCAUGGUUAAAGUCUGUUUGAUAAGUGACAAAAGGAGUUUUUUGUCACUUAUCAAACAGACUGAAAUUCAUUUUAAAGCCUUUCUUAUAUUAUACAGAAGCAAACAAUACCAUCAGUGACAAGGUUGAUGUUUUUUAUGCUGUUAUUUUGACAUCUAAAUCAGUGCAAGUGGGCAGGUGUCAGUGGGGCUGCUCAGGAAAAAAGCUCAGUUUCUGUAUUUUUGACAUUUCCUAUUCUCAAAUAUCAAUAUACUUGUCUAUCAAAGGUCACCAGGAUACGCCAUAAACAUGUAGAGGACAUGAUAAGCAGAGACUGCUUUGUCCACAGGGGUGCCAUAACUGACACAAACUGAAAGUCCCUUGUAAGAGCUUUAAAAACGACAUUUACCAGCACAUAUUAAUUGCACAAUGAAACAAAAUAAGUGUGUAUUUUACAGUUAUUGCAAAAUAUGACUAAUUGAGCAAUCAUCUUCCCUUUUCCCAUAGUGACAUCAGUCACAAAGUUUGAUGGCAGAGUCGUCUAGUCAGCAAAACUAAAGUUGUGACUCAAACAAUGAAGUUUCAGGAUAAUAAUAAAAAAUGUUAAUGCCCGAAAACAGGAACAUGCAGUUUGACGUCUUUGGAUUGACCACAGUGAUGGCAUCAUAUUGUACCCAGAAACUUCUUCAUUCACAUGAAACACACACCAGCUGCUCGUGUUAUGAAUCACAGUCUGCAUCAGUAGCGCAAUAUCAGCACAAUGUUAAUAAGAAAAAAAUUUUGAAGAGAAUAAAGAUAUUUAGGACGUCAAGCUUUCAUCUAGAAUACUAUGUCAGUUCUUGAAAUCUCAGAUGUUUUCUCCUUAAUAAAAUCUAAGUUUCACUUUGACUUGCUAGAACUGUGGGUUAGUGUUGUGUGGCCUUCAGCGUCCGACGAGAAGUACGUUAUCAUUGAGCCUUGAACAUCACCAGCUUUAGUAAGCACUGCAACUUCAGGAGGUGAAGUUUGGGUUUUGACCUCUCAUUUACCACACACUGAUUGCUUGGUGGUCUUGUGACUGGUUAUGGUCUAGAGUACAGGAAAGGUAACUUCAGUGUCCCAGCUAUGAGCCUAAUCCUGGUUUGGACCACAUUAAGGAUAUAGCAUUCAUACAAGCACACAGAUAAAUAUGGUUAUUCAUGUUGCUGUAUUUAUAAUAAAUACUGUUGUCCCCUGUUCAUGGUUACUGCAUCAUAUUACUGUGCCAUGAACCACAGGAAGUGCCAGAAGCCCCCAUUUAAUUCUUUUUCACAGGGGACUUUAUGUAUUAGAAAUGUUAAUAGACUGGCGUUGCUGAUUGGUCAGAAUUUUACAUUUUUCCUUAAGCCAAUAAAAACAUCCACGCACUCAAAUUCACAAGUUUUUUUUUUAAUCUCUGCCAUUAAAGCACUUAAUAAUUCAUUACCCUAGAAAAUGUAAUCAGUGCACCGUUACUGCUCGAGUUAAACUCAUCCAAAACACUUCGCUGAGGAAACACUCUGUCUCUGUUUGGCUCAUGUGAUUAUGUUAACCUGAUUCUGCUCUGAACAGAGACUUCAGAGGAAAUGAUCACUAGUGGUCAGAGACCGUUUUUGUCAAGCUGAGGUUUGUUUACAUAUUUGCUCUGGAGCAAACAUGAUGUACUACAUUUUCUAAGAAAUUUGACCAAAUUAUCCUCUAGAGUGCCACAGGUACUGCUGUAGCAGAGGCCACACGCUUAAAGAAGUUUCACGCUCACAUUUUAGAAAACAAAGUUUGUUGUUUAUAGUGUAUGUAUGGUAUUAUGAGCCCUAAAUAUGCUCUUCAAGGUUUUUGUGUUGUUGUUGGCUCCUGGUUGUUUUCUUUACUCUGACUGCUGGUUCUGUAUAUCUUCAGGUCUGUAAUUUUUUGACUUGUACUUGUACACUUUAUCUCCUGCUUAAUCAGGUCAGGAAAACAGAUGUUCUUAAAGACCUGUUGGGCAUACCCACCUUGAAUCUGGGCCGGGAAAACAACCAGAGGCUACAGGGGAGGUAUGUAGGUUACAAUGUGUAAAGAUACAGGAGGAGUGUCUCUCCAAAAAAAGACUUGAAACUCCUCAAAGUAUGACAGGGAGUAUCAGGGAAACUGAAGAUCCUUUACUGUAACUGUAAACUACAGUGUAAAAACACCCCAAUGAAAGAAACAGUCCUUAAUUUCAAUGUUACUAAUGGAUAAAUCUGUCAAUUAUUUUUAGGUCGACUGGUAAAUGAUUGGUAUGUGAGAUAAAUAUGGUAGACAAGCAGCAAAAAGAAAGCAGAGCAAUAUUAUUCCUGGCAUUCAAUAAAAUCAAGCUAUUUUCAUAGACUCAUAAAGCUCCAGUAAAGAGUUAAUAUUGGCUGUGAAAUGGAUUGUAAUCAACAGUGAUGCCCCUUUGACCUGUAAAAGCAAACCCAACCAUCAGUGACAAGACUAAGAAUUUAUUUUUAAAAUAGAUUUUUUUGGGCACUUCUGCUUUAAAGACAGGACAGCUGAAAGGAGACAAAAAUCAUGGGGAGAAGGGAGUGAAGAGGUGAGUACAAAACAACUACAGUGUGGCACAAAAAUAUGAAAAACGUCCCUGUUUUCUGUUGUUUUUGUCUUUUGGAAGAGAAACUUUGAUUUUCCCUCACGGCCAAAAGAACAUGUGCAGCUUUCUGAGACUGAAUCAAAAAGUGCAGAGCAGAGGAAAAGCCGAGUGAUGAAGCUGACUUUUCAGGGUAAAUUUUGAAGGAACCUCUGGGUAGGCGUGUCCUUGAAAGAGCUGAAUCACAGCUACUGGGUGGGCAUGCCCCUCAACUUUGACCUAUUAAGACAGCAGAGCCGGAGGUCAGGCCAGGUAAAUUUAUUGUAACGGGCUUUUUAUAGAACCAGAAAAACAUGUCCAGGGAUCUCAUCAACAUCUGUGUAUCACUUUGUUUUGUUUUGAAACUUUGCAGAGGUUUAAUGUGGACACCAAACAUGGUACCUUUAUUUUGAAAUCUGAACCUUUUAUACAGCUUACACUGUCAAAAAUGGUUGUGAACAAAUUUAGUUGUAUUAGUUCUUGUCAAAUGUAAAGCAUCAUGGAAAAGAUAAACAUUGGUGCCCUUAAUUUGAACCCUCUCAAUACAAAACUGAAUGACAUUGCACCACUGAAUUAACUCUGAACAAGUCCAGGCAUAGAUAAGUAAGACCUCUGGCAUAAAACUGAAUCUAACCACUCUACAUAACUUUGUUAAAUACAUCCUCAUUUGACAGAGCUGUAAAUUCUGUGUCAAAUUAAAGAAUACAAAUCCAGUCAAACACAGGAAUAAGACAGGACUAAUAAUAACGACAGUCUGAUACACAGACAUGGAAGUACAUCAGUCAUGAAACAGUAAGGCACAUUUCAUACAAACAAAAAACAAACAAAAAAAACAAAACAAAAAAAAAAACAAUACAAUUUGGCAGACAAAGAUAUGCCUAGACAUGCCUAGGCAUUGAAUAUCUGGACUGUAAUUGCAUCCACCAAACCCGACUUGCAGGUUUGUCAAUCGGAGAAAGUUAAGUUACAAAACAUCCAAAGGUCAGAUGAGUCAUUCUGGUUAACUAUCAGCUGAUGCAUCAUCGAAAAAACAACCAGGAUGACAGGAACAUGCUGGAUGUUGCUGGAGGUUAUACUGUUGUUCUGAAAAAAGAGCCGUACAGGAUCACAGUGAGGUCACUGGUAAACACUAGAAAGACCCCGGGCUGUCGAGACCUCUUUCACUUUUGGCACAUAGGGUCUCAAAGAGGUGUUUGUUGAUUAAUGUAUGAGGAUCUGACCUUAGUUUAACCUUGAUGAGUCUGAGGAACACUUGUGCAACUUUUUGGUGCCAUUUAUCAAAGAGCUGAACCAUCAAUUAAGCCCCUUCAGUCACAUAUGAACACUGAGGCCCGGUACUUUUGAGGAGUAAACAACUGUAACUGAUCCUUAAAAAACCUGACUUGAUGGCUCUCUGUGUUUACUGUAAUGUUUUCUAGGCGAGCAUGUUCCUGUAGGGUUUGUUUAAACAGCUUAAUGUAAAAAAAAAAAAAAAAAGGAAAGUUGAGGUGAAGUUCUGAGAACUUCAGGAACAACAUGUUAAGGCUUAGGUUUGUGUGUUUAAGGAUGUUUUUCUGCUCUGCUGUUUACCUCCAACACUGAUGCAUUACGUCAUUUUUUUUUUCAGCAGGAGGGGAGGACUUUAUUUUUGGCUUUUUGUUUUUUAUUAGGAUGCUGUAUUGCAGUUAAAGCUGGGUGUAAUUUGUGUUGAUGGGGUGACCUGUAUACUGCAUCAUCCUUUACAUUUAGUAAAACUACUCUAUUAGAGCUCUUACUAACCUCAUACAAUCCUAUCUUAAGAGGUCAAAUCAAGAACCAGUCAGAGAAAUAACAAAUUACAUCCUCAAAUUACUGUAGUUAAGUAGCUUUUCUGUGUGCUUGAAUUUUUUUGUUUGUGACAAAUAGCUGAGGCACCAACGGGCCUGAGGCGUGUCGCGCCGCCACCUCCAUGGACGGCCUCCCCAGCAGACCACGGCACUAUCACACUGCCUGUCAUCCCCCAUGGAAUGCUCUACAUGGCAGCCAGGACAGUUGUGAUGGCUGGUGCUUGUGACUGCCUUUAAGUGUUCUUGCUGAUUUUGAUGUAAAAAUGACAAAGUAUAGUGUGUUCUCAAAAUGUCAUGGUAUACUAUGACAAAGAUGUCAUAGUAAAUUAAGUUUAAAAAAA